CUGCCUAACUGGUACAACUGUAACUGUUUCUUAAAGAGGUUAUUCAACUGUUCCAUUAAGCCAGAUGCUUCAGGAUGGUGGGGUACAUGGUAAGACUAGUGGAUUUCAUGAGCGUGGGUCCACUGUUGCAAUUCUUUGGCUGUGAAGUAAGUUCCUUGACAGAAAUGAUGCUGUGUGGAGUAUCCUAAGAGUGAAUAAGAAGACAUUCAGUAAAUUCAUGGAUGGUUGUUUCAGCAGAGGUACUAUGUACAGGAAAGGCAAACUCAUAACCAGAGACAUGGUACAAUCAAGCUGGCAUUAAGUUAGAAGCUUCCUCCCUGCUGGAAGACUUCAUUUGCAGUGAGUACUGGUUACUGAAGAAACUCAAAACUGGCCAGAGUGGUGAGAGUAAGUGACUGUUGAAUGCCCAGCCCUGAAUGAGACAUCUGUAUCAUUCCCACCAAGUCUCAGGGAGCAUUGAAGAAAGAGUAAAGUGCCAUUGAACACUGUCCUAGGGGCACAACAUGGACACAUGUGGCCUCUUGAACUCUCAGCAUCUGUGAAUAUCAGCAGCGGAUCCACACAAUAUUGGGCCCAUUACAUUCUGUCGUGGAGGGAUCGAAGGGAAUCGUGUGACCCCUCCCCUCCCUGAGACUACAUAAGCAAUUGACAGCAGCCAGGGGAGAUGGCGUAGCUGCACAUAAGUUGCCCACACGUUGAAGUCUUCUUUAUGAAAAUAAUGAAUCAUGGGCCAGGUGUGGUGACAUGUGCCAUUAAUUUCAGCACUCGGGAGGAUGAGGCAGGAGACUCUCUAGUUCAAAGCCAGCCUGGGCUAAACGUUGAGCCACUGGCUACAUAGAAAUAAGUAAGGUAAGUAAGUAAGUAAGUAAGUAAAUAAAUCAAUGUUCAGGAUGUAGCUCAGUUGUUGAGCACUUUCCUAGAAUGCAUUAAGCCCUGUGUUUAAUCCCCAGCAUCAGGAUUGGUGGUGCAUGUCUAUAAACCCAAGAAGUGGGGGCAGGAGGAUCAGAAGUGUGAGGUCAACCUCAGCCACAUAGCAACUCUGAGGACAGUUUGGGAUUCACAAAACCCUGUUUCUCAAAAACAAAAUGAAAACAAUACACACACACACACACACACACGUAUGGAUAUAUACAUACAAUACAUAUGGAUAAAUUGUUAAGUUUCCUAUGUGUGUCAAAAGAACCUGUGUAUCACUAAUAAUCCUCUAAUGUCUGAUCUUCAGCAAAUGGCAUUAUAAACAGAAUCGUACGUUUACUCAUUUAGCCUCACAGUGACUGUGCUGGGUAGAUAGUGUUUUGAUUCUCAUCUGCGGCUGAAAAAAGAAAACUAUCUAAUACCUCACAGCUAGAAUAGGGCAAGGCUUGGAUUCAAAUGCAAAUUGUCUGGCUUCUGAGCCUGUCUUUGUAACUGUAACUCCAUUCUACUUACACUUACAGAAUUUCUCCUGAUUUCUCGUGGUCAGUUAACAUAGCCCUACAAAACAAUUGCAAAGAAAGUGUGUGGAUUAUUUUACAUAGCCUGUUGUGUUAAGUGAUUAGAAUAACUUUACAUUAUAAAAGCAAAAAUUGAGCUGGGCCGUGGUGGUGCAUUCCUUUAAUUCCAGCACUCGGAGACAGAGGCAGGAGGAUCUCUGAAUUUGUGAUCUACAGAGCAAGUUCUAGGACAGCCAAGGUUACAGGGAAAAAAAAAAAAAAAAGAGAGUCUUCUCCAUAGAAACAAUUACUUCCUCAUUGUGUACUUUUUCAUCAUUGUUUUGUGUUGUUUGCCUUGCUGCUCUGGAAUUCAAUAUGUUAACCAAGCUGACCUGGAACCUGUAGCAGUCUCCUACCUCUGCAUGCCUCGGGAAUGCUGGGAUAGUAGGCAUGUGAGACCAUGCUUGGACUUAGUUGUUUUUCACCCUUGUUUGUUUAA